rnacentral:rRNA from 1 species
GUGGGGAAUCUUGCGCAAUGGGCGAAAGCCUGACGCAGCCAUGCCGCGUGAAUGAUGAAGGUCUUAGGAUUGUAAAAUUCUUUCACCGGGGACGAUAAUGACGGUACCCGGAGAAGAAGCUCCGGCUAACUUCGUGCCAGCAGCCGCGGUAAUACGAAGGGGGCUAGCGUUGCUCGGAAUUACUGGGCAUAAAGGGCGCGUAGGCGGACAGCUUAGUCAGAGGUGAAAGCCCAGGGCUCAACCUUGGAAUUGCCUUUGAUACUGGCUGUCUUGAGUUUGGGAGAGGUGAGUGGAACUCCGAGUGUAGAGGUGAAAUUCGUAGAUAUUCGGAAGAACACCAGUGGCGAAGGCGACUCACUGGCCCAAUACUGACGCUGAGGCGCGAAAGCGUGGGGAGCAAACAGGAUUAGAAACCCGGGUAGUCC